rnacentral:rRNA from 1 species
GAUGAACGCUGGCGGCGUGCUUAACACAUGCAAGUCGAACGAUGAAGCUCAGCUUGCUGGGUGGAUUAGUGGCGAACGGGUGAGUAACACGUGAGUAACCUGCCCUUAACUCUGGGAUAAGCCUGGGAAACUAGGUCUAAUACCGGAUAGGAGCGCCUACCGCAUGGUGGGUGUUGGAAAGAUUUAUCGGUUUUGGAUGGACUCGCGGCCUAUCAGCUUGUUGGUGAGGUAAUGGCUCACCAAGGCGACGACGGGUAGCCGGCCUGAGAGGGUGACCGGCCACACUGGGACUGAGACACGGCCCAGACUCCUACGGGAGGCAGCAGUGGGGAAUAUUGCACAAUGGGCGAAAGCCUGAUGCAGCGACGCCGCGUGGGGGAUGACGGCCUUCGGGUUGUAAACCUCUUUCAGUAGGGAAGAAGCGAAAGUGACGGUACCUGCAGAAGAAGCACCGGCUAACUACGU